UGGGGAAUUUUGCACAAUGGGGGAAACCCUGAUGCAGCGACGCCGCGUGAUUUAGAAGGCCUUCGGGUUGUAAAAAUCUUUUGUAUGGGAAGAAAAUGACAGUACCAUACGAAUAAGGACCGGCUAAUUACGUGCCAGCAGCCGCGGUAAUACGUAAGGUCCGAGCGUUGUCCGGAAUCAUUGGGCGUAAAGGGUACGUAGGCGGAUAAGCAAGUUAGAAGUGAAAUCCUAUAGCUCAACUAUAGUAAGCUUUUAAAACUGCUCAUCUUGAGGUAUGGAAGGGAAAGUGGAAUUCCUAGUGUAGCGGUGAAAUGCUCAAAUAUUAGGAGGAAUACCGGUGGCGAAGGCGACUUUCUGGCCAUAUACUAACGCUGAGGUACGAAAGCGUGGGUAGCAAACAGG
rnacentral:rRNA from 1 species